rnacentral:rRNA from 1 species
AGAGUUUGAUCAUGGCUCAGAUUGAACGCUGGCGGCAGGCUUAACACAUGCAAGUCGAACGGUAACAGAACUAGCUUGCUAGUUGCUGACGAGUGGCGGACGGGUGAGUAACGCGUAGGAAUCUACCGAGUAGUGGGGGACAACAGUUGGAAACGACUGCUAAUACCGCAUAAUCCCUGAGGGGGAAAGGAGGGGAUCUGUUUACAGACCUUUCGCUAUUUGAUGAGCCUGCGUGAGAUUAGCUAGUUGGUGAGGUAAUGGCUCACCAAGGCGACGAUCUCUAGCUGGUCUGAGAGGAUGAUCAGCCACACUGGAACUGAGACACGGUCCAGACUCCUACGGGAGGCAGCAGUAGGGAAUCUUCCGCAAUGGGCGCAAGCCUGACGGAGCAAUACCGCGUGAGGGAUGACAGCCUGUGGGUUGUAAACCUCUUUUUUCAAGGAAGAAGAUCUGACAUGUACUUGAAGAAUAAGCAUCGGCUAACUCCGUGCCAGCAGCCGCGGUAAGACGGAGGAUGCAAGUGUUAUCCGGAAUCACUGGGCGUAAAGCGUCUGUAGGUGGUCUAAUAAGUCAGUUGUUACAAAUUGAGGCUUAACCUUAAACAAGCAACAGAUACUGUUAAACUUGAGUAUAGUAGAGGUAAAAGGAAUUUCCAGUGGAGCGGUGAAAUGCGUAGAGAUUGGAAAGAACACCGAUGGCGAAGGCAUUUUACUGGGCUAUAACUGACACUCAGAGACGAAAGCUAGGGUAGCAAAUGGGAUUAGAUACCCCAGUAGUCCUAGCCGUAAACGAUGGAUACUAGAUGUUGCACGUAUCGACCCGUGCAGUGUCAAAGCUAACGCGUUAAGUAUCCCGCCUGGGGAGUAUGCUCGCAAGGGUGAAACUCAAAGGAAUUGACGGGGGCCCGCACAAGCGGUGGAGCAUGU